AUGUUGAAGCAGUCGUGGAGUCUUGCGGUGGCUUUUUGUAUCUUGCCAACUAAAGAGGUGGUUGCAGAGGUGGACAGAGAUGACUACAACCUGCCAGGAGCUGAAACUCUGAAACUUCCAAAGAAAUCGACACUUCAGUUCAGCUCAGACAAUGUUUGCUGCUUGCAAAUCUUCCAAUGGACGACUUGCAACUUGCCAGUUCAUGUUUUGAACUGGCUGGGUGGCAGUGAAAGCCAGGACGCACUAUCUGAAGUUCUGGCUGGCAUCACGUCUCCCAUUGACACUGAGUUCUUUUGCAGAAGUGCUCAUUCUGCAGCUAUGUAUGCUGUCACCUCCAUGCAUCCAUCUUAUGCUACCUUGCAACCCAAACUCUUCCAGAUCUGCUAUGCUGAUGACCGCUACGUCUGCUUUGCUCGAGAAGAGGACAAGUGGGUCAUAUAUGGCUUCGAGACUGCCGAGUUGGGAGCAUUUGCUAGAACGCUGGUGGCAUGGCACAAGGCCGACAUUGACCGGGGCCUGCUUGAGCCGAGGGCUAGGGUGAGGGACGUCACGGCGUCACAACUCAAGGCGGCGGCUGCCAUCGGUCAAGUGUGGCUCGUCGAGGCUGCUCGUUGUAUUUCGUUGCAGCUGAAGGCCGCGGGAUCAGGCCAGGAAGGCGCCAUGCGUUGA
rnacentral:rRNA from 1 species